rnacentral:lncRNA from 1 species
UAAAUAAAAUGUUUAUAUUUGAAAUCAAAAAUCAGACAUAUACAUUAGUUUGGGAUCUUUUAAUGUUUUUUAAACUUUUAAUGUUUUUGAAUUAAGUCUUUCAUGCUCACCAAGGCUGCAUUUAGCCUAUUUUAUCAAAAAUGCAGAUAUAAAUAUUAUUAUGGAAAAUGUCAUAUAUUUUUUUCUGGAUUCUUUAAUGCAUCGAAGUUCAGAAGAACAGCAUUUACUUUAAAACCCUUUCAUGCAUGAAUGACUAAAUCACAAAGUAAUAUUUUUUUUUUUACAAAUUAUUUUUUUUUAUUUAAGUGAAAAAUCAUGCCAAUAACUCUUUGGUGGUAGGCUAUUCAUACACAGGGGAGCACAAAUACAAACACACACAAGCACACACACCCUCCCACCACACACUCGAACACAAUCAAUGCGCACAUAUACAUGCACUCAUACAGUAUUCAUGUAUACAUGCCUACACUUUUAUAUGACCUAAUACAUAAAUAUAGACUAUAAGCAUUUAAAUAAAUUAUAAAAUCUGAAGACUAUUAUUGCUGUUCAAUAAAUCUAAGUGUAAAUGGUAUCAUAAUUUUGAUAAAACAUGCAAAACGAGACAGAAUCUCUAUACAUAGGCUCAAUAGGCUCAAUUGUUGCAUGAUGUCCACAGGAGUGGACAGAUGUUUUUCUGUGACAGAAAAACAUGUACAAGAAAAAUAUUGUUAAAAUCUGGAUAAAAGUUUUUCUUACAUCCCAUUUCAUCCAUUUUUUUGUGCCUGUCUGUUUUUUUUUUUUUAGAACAAAAGGAUUUAACACUUAUUCCAGUGGUACAUGGUGCAUCUCCUCUUUCCUCCGCCUUUUUAAAUAUAUUAUGCAAUAUCUCAAAAAAAAAAAAAAAGGAACCUAAAGCCAAAUACAGCAUUAUCAAUUUUUUUUUCGGUAAGGGAAGGAGGGGCGGUACUGAGCGUUACAAAUUGACAAGUUGGAAAGAGGGGUGCUGCAACAAUGUGCAGUAUGUAAAAAGAAAUAAUGUGUCCUUUGAACAUCGCAUAUGUGAAGAAUUUAUAAGUACCACCCCCCCCCCCCUUUUUUUUAAAAAAAGGCAUAAUAUCUUAGGCAUAUGAAUAAUCUUAAAUAAAUAAAUACGAUUUAAAAUAAAAAAAGUUUCUCCCUUCAAUCAUUUUAACCAUCGGAUAUAAUACACAUUCAUGCAGUGCCAUGUUUCCAAACUGUGUUUCAAUGCUGUUACCAUCUGUUUCAAAAAUAAAUACAUAAAUAAAAUGUUUAUAUUUGAAAUCAAAAAUCAGACAUAUACAUUAGUUUGGGAUCUUUUAAUGUUUUUUAAACUUUUAAUGUUUUUGAAUUAAGUCUUUCAUGCUCACCAAGGCUGCAUUUAGCCUAUUUUAUCAAAAAUGCAGAUAUAAAUAUUAUUAUGGAAAAUGUCAUAUAUUUUUUUCUGGAUUCUUUAAUGCAUCGAAGUUCAGAAGAACAGCAUUUACUUUAAAACCCUUUCAUGCAUGAAUGACUAAAUCACAAAGUAAUAUUUUUUUUUUACUAAAUUAAUUUUUUUUAUUUUUUAAGUUAGUAAAAUAACUAUAGUCCAACUAAACUUAUAGACUAUAAGCAUUUAAAUAAAUUAUAAAAAUCUGAAGACUAUUAUUGCUGUUCAAUAAAUCUAAGUGUAAAUGGUAUCAUAAUUUUUGAUAAAACAUGCAAAACGAGACAGAAUCUCUAUACAUAGGCUCAAUAGGCUCAAUUGUUGCAUGAUGUCCACAGGAGUGGACAGAUGUUUUUCUGUGACAGAAAAACAUGUACAAGAAAAAUAUUGUUAAAAUCUGGAUAAAAGUUUUUCUUACAUCCCAUUUCAUCCAUUUUUUUUGUUGCCUGUCUGUUUUUUUUUUUUUUUAGUAACAAAAGGAUUUAACACUUAUUCCUAGUGGUACAUGGUGCAUCUCCUCUUUCCUCCGCCUUUUUAAACGGUACUGAGCGUUACAAAUUGACAAGUUGGAAAGAGGGGUGCUGCAACAAUGUGCAGUAUGUAAAAAGAAAUAAUGUGUCCUUUGAACAUCGCAUAUGUGAAGAAUUUAUAACGUACCACCCCCCCCCCUUUUUUUUAAAAAAAACGGACAUAAUAUCUUAGGCAUAUGAAUAAUCUUAAAUAAAUAAAUACAUUUAAAAUAAAAAAAAGUUUCUCCCUUCAAUCAUUUUAACCAUCGGAUAUAAUACACAAUCAUUGUUAUCUUAAUUAUGGGUCUUAAAUACUUAAAGUUUUAUAUUGGCGAUAUAAUUACAUCACAAGUCUGUCUGCACACCUCAUUUACAAUCACUGCCCUUUCUCGUAACAGUCCUGGACGGAAAUAUACCGGCAUAUACAGUAAUAGUCUACCUGUAGGCUAGUGGCGCUUGAUCGGUUUCUUCUGUAAUAAAGGGCUCUUCUUCUCAGUCAUGUCCUUCAUGUUGUUUGUGUUUACGCGCUGCAUCACUGAACAAUCGUUUGCGUAUAUUUCCGUGUCUUGAACCUAAACUGUAAAAACGAAAGCCCGUGUUAACAGCGGCGCGCGCGACUGAAGUGGAUAUUCGGUGUCGAGAGGGAGGUCGAAAUAAUGCUCUUCUGAGAUGUCGUGGUGUUACGGUCUGUGCCGAGGCUUUGGAGCGUGUGUGGAGAAAUCCCGGCAGCUUUCAGUGAAGCGCGUAUCGAGGCUUAUAUCGCUUUAGAGCAAUGACGUCCCUGAUGACGUCCGAAGCCUCGCUUGGCCAGCCUGGUUCAGGAAGCGGUUCAGAUCUUGUAAAUUCACAGUCCUCUGCCCUGUUAAACUCAGCAACUUUCCAGUUUUAGACAAAUAAUAUUGCCCCUCCUGCCUAUAAUGAGCAAAGACUUGAUUUACACAAAUUUGAUAGCCCCAUUCAUUUCAAGCCAAUAGGUUUGUUACACAGUUAUGUUGUUAUACAAUCAUUAUAUACCCCUAGAAAAUGCACAUUAUAUUAAUAUAAAUAGAUAAGUCUAUGUGGAAAUGUAUUAUUUUUUUUUCUUCACCGUUAAUCCUAAACCUUUACUGUCGCAUAAUACAGUGGCAGGGUCUUAAAGCCUUCCUCAAAUGGCUAUGUUCACAAAAAAAAAAAAAAGAUUAAUUGUCAAUUGAGAUUUUGUUAUUCAUUGUGUCUGGUGGCCAUAUGCCAUAUAUGCCUGUGAAUAUGGGACAAACUGCAAUUUCAUAUGGGACACUUCUUUGAUGCCUUAAAUACGGGACAAUUCCGUAUUAUACAGAACGGUUGUCAAACCUAUAUUAACCUGCAGACUGCACUCUGCGAGGCUGCGAGAAAAUAAUAAAUAAAAAGAGUGGGCCGGCUGUGAGUGCAUGCAGACAGCCUAGGGCAGCAUCCAUAUUUCAACCCCAGUGGCAUGACAGUUGGGGCCGAGGUGGGUCUUUCCUAUGUUGCCCAGU